UACGUAGGGGGCAAGCGUUGUCCGGAUUUAUUGGGCGUAAAGAGCUCGUAGGCGUUUCCGUAAGUCGUGAAGUCAAAUCUCUGGGCUCAACCCAGAAUCGCUUCCGAUACUGCGGUGACUGGAGUCCGGUAGGGGAGUGUGGAAUUCCUGGUGUAGCGGUGAAAUGCGCAGAUAUCAGGAGGAACACCAACAGCGAAGGCAGCACUCUGGGCCGGUACUGACGCUGAGGAGCGAAAGCAUGGGGAGCGAACAGG
rnacentral:rRNA from 1 species